AGAGUUUGAUCCUGGCUCAGGAUGAACGCUAGCGGCAGGCUUAAUACAUGCAAGUCGAGGGGCAGCAUGUCCCGCAGCAAUGCGGGAUGAUGGCGACCGGCAAACGGGUGCGGAACACGUACACAACCUUCCUUUAAGUGGGGAAUAGGCCAGGGAAACUUGGGUUAAUACCCCGUAAUAUAUAGAAGCGGCAUCGCUUUUAUAUUAUAGCUCCGGCGCUUGAAGAUGGGUGUGCGGCUGAUUAGAUAGUUGGCGGGGUAACGGCCCACCAAGUCGACGAUCAGUAACUGGUGUGAGAGCACGACCAGUCACACGGGCACUGAGACACGGGCCCGACUCCUACGGGAGGCAGCAGUAAGGAAUAUUGGUCAAUGGACGCAAGUCUGAACCAGCCAUGCCGCGUGGAGGAUGAAGGUCCUCUGGAUUGUAAACUUCUUUUAUUUGGGAAGAAACCCACCUUUUCUUGGGUGGUUGACGGUACCAGAUGAAUAAGCACCGGCUAACUCCGUGCCAGCAGCCGCGGUAAUACGGAGGGUGCAAGCGUUAUCCGGAUUCACUGGGUUUAAAGGGUGCGUAGGUGGGCAAGUAAGUCAGUGGUGAAAUCUCCGGGCUUAACCCGGAAACUGCCAUUGAUACUAUUUGUCUUGAAUACUGUGGAGGUCAGCGGAAUAUGUCAUGUAGCGGUGAAAUGCUUAGAUAUGACAUAGAACACCAAUUGCGAAGGCAGCUGGCUACACAAAUAUUGACACUGAGGCACGAAAGCGUGGGGAUCAAACAGGAUUAGAUACCCUGGUAGUCCA
rnacentral:rRNA from 1 species